ACAGCAGACCGCCUUAUCGCUGUUCAGUAAUGAAGAGAGGAAAGUCCGGACACCACAGAGUAGCAUAUUGGGUAACGCCCAACCGUUGAAAGACGAGGACAAGUGCAACAGAAAGCAAGUACAGUUCGGCUGUAGUGAAACCAGGUAAACUCUAUGCGGUGAAAUUUCAAGUAUAUCGACAUUUAAGGGUUACUCGUCCGUUGUCGAAGGGUAGAAAGAUAGAACUUGUGAGUAAUUACAAGUCUAGAUAAAUGAUAAGGCUCCGAUUAUUCGGAGACAGAAUCCGGCUUAUAGGUCUGCUUUUUUU
rnacentral:RNase_P_RNA from 1 species